UCCCGCCCGCCGCUGGGACCCGAACUGCGGAAGAUGUAAUGCGUGUGGUAGCCGCGAUUGGGGCAGGCCCGGCCUGCAGGUGCAGCGCGAACGACCUCGCCUCGUCCUCUCCGGGCACGUCCCGCUGGCCCGAGGAAGCCGUCGUCUCUGGCCGCAAGGCCCAGAGAGCACACGUUCCUCGCGGACCUCUCCGAAGCCCUAGCCGGUGAACAGCCGGUUUCCUCGCCAGGGAGGAUGGCGCGAAGUACAGGGUGGACGCCGUCACUUCACACCAAGGGACUCAUCUCGCCCUCCAAGCUGUGAGCGCAGCCAGACCUCUUCCUAAGAGUCUCAAGGCUUGGACCUCCGCCCGCGGGCCCUGCUUAAUUUUGUGGGAGACUUCAGAGUUCCAAGUGUCUGCUGUGCUGUGGAACCCCAGAGUGCUCUUGCCUUGAUGGCUGGGAACCUCUUGGACCCUGGAAGCGCCUAUUCCAUGAUGGCCCGGUACAGUGCAGGCUCGAUGUAGUCUUCUCGGUACCUUGAGUUGAUUACCCGCUGCCGUUUCUUUUCCUGCUUAACCUCUUUCUCCGUGAAAAUCUCGUUGAAGCGCAUGUCUGAAGCUACUGACUACAGUAGGAUAGGCAAGCCAAAUAAUCACUUUGUGGCCAACUAUCCCAGAAAAAAACAAAGGGACACACUCCUACCAACUUCCCUCUCCUCCCAAACAGAAGCCCAGGGCACACAGAAAACACACUCACCAAUCUAGACUUGACUCUCUUGGGAAGCUCUUCAUCCAGCGUGUAUACAUCAUCUCUCUUAACUACAAGUUGUGAGCCAUCCUCAAACUCCACCUGCCAAGGAAACAGUGUCCUUUGGGCUAAGGUACCCCUGAGAUUCCCCUGGUCUACCAUGUAGAGUGGCAAUUUCCUGCAGCCAAAGGAAAGGGUUACAACACCGGAAUAAGGAAUGCGAUGUCUGAAGCCACACUGGCAGACUGGACACGGGACGGGUCUCUCACUCUGAAAAGGUUGUUACUGACCCACUAGUUCUCUCAAGAGCGAAAAACAGGGCUGGGGAGAUAGCUCAGUUGGUCGAGUGCUUGCCUUGCAAGCACAAGGCCCUGGGUUCGAUCCCCAGCACCAAAAAAAAAAAAAAAAGAGCGAAAAACACCUGUCACCUAAGAGCAAGCACUGAAUUAAUCAAGGACCCACUCCAC